rnacentral:rRNA from 1 species
CUCCUGGGAAGUCCUCGUGUUGCACCCCUCUCUUUUUCUUCGCGUUUUUUUCGUUGGGGUUGUCGUUUGCGGCGGUCCAGCACGCUCGCUCUGCAUGCACCCCUUUCAUCUUCCCUGCAUUUAUUUAUUUAUUUAUUUUUUCUCGUUGGGCUUAUCGUUUACGUCGGUCCAGCACGCUCGCUUUGCAGGCUUAGCCCGCCCCAGGCGAAAAGCACGAGCCGCAGAUCUCGUUUUGGGUGCUAAAGCGUCGCGGGGACGUCGAAAUCCGCGGAAGCCCCUCGGGUUGCGCCUCUCCGGCGUUAAGGUGCAUCGUUCGUUCGGAUCCUUUUAUAAGAAUUAAACGCGCUUAUGCUGAUGGGUGCGAUCAUACCAACACUAAUGCACCGGA